AGAUAGUGCAGCAAGUAAUCUCACCCCAAGGAGUUGCAGCUGGGCCAAUUACCAAAGAUUAGGAACAGGCCUGACUUUGACAGGCCACAGCUGUGACCCGUGAGAAGAAGAAGAGUGCUAUAAAAGAGUGGGUUAGCUGGUUGAGAGGGAACUGGAGUCUGUUGGCUGCUUUGUGAAGAAGAAUGAGUUAGUGCUCUGAGGAGCUGCUUGUGAGAAUACACCAAGAAGGUCUCCAAGCAAGUGUGAAGGCAGAUUCCCAAGCCCUGCACAGCACAAUGAUGUUGUCCAGCUUUCCUUUUAAAGCAGUGUCCCUGGAAUGUCUGGGGAUCAGCAUGACUGUACAGGCAGUGCUUUGGUCAGAGUAACAUUAGCUAUGGCAUAGGAAGGUUUUCAGGACCCAGACCUGGAGGAAUGGUUUCUAUCAUGCAAACAGAUGAAGUGGAAGCCAUAUGCUUUUUCUCUCCUCAUCCAUAAGUAUUCAACUCCAUGGACUUCUGUAGGGACUGUCUUGAAAUCUGAAGGUAGAAAAGACCCAUAAAAUCACCUAGACAUCACUGCUCUGUUCAACCUAGCUUGAAAUUAUUAUUUACUCCCUUCUUUUAAAAACCUUGCAGUAUCUGUCAUGUACACAAUGAGUGUCUUUCACCUCUUAAACAAAGCCUUUUCAAUAUGUGGGGUGUUGUUGUUAU